rnacentral:rRNA from 1 species
AACGAACGCUGGCGGCGUGUUUAAGACAUGCAAGUCGCACGGGAUAAGACAUGUAGUAAUACUUGUUUUAUUUAGUGGCGCACGGGUGAGUAACACGUGAAUUACAUGCCCUAUAGUGGGGAAUAGCCCAGGGAAACUUGGAUUAAUACCCCAUGGUAUCGACAGAUUAAAGGUGGCCGCAAGGCUGUCGCUAUAGGAUUGGUUCGCGCCCUAUCAGCUUGUUGGUAAAGUAACGGCUCACCAAGGCAAUGACGGGUACCUGGUCUGAGAGGACGAUCAGGCACACUGGAACUGAGACACGGUCCAGACACCUACGGGUGGCAGCAGUCGAGAAUAAUUCACAAUGGGGGCAACCCUGAUGGUGCAACGCCGCGUGGAGGAUGACGGUCUUCGGAUUGUAAACUCCUGUCAUCUGGGAGAAAGACCUGACGGUAAAUAGCCGGCAGGGUUGAUAGUACCAGAAGAGGAAGGGACGGCUAACUUCGUGCCAGCAGCCGCAGUAA